CCUACGGGAGGCAGCAGUGGGGAAUAUUGGGCAAUGGGCGCAAGCCUGACCCAGCAACGCCGCGUGAAGGAAGAAGGCUUUCGGGUUGUAAACUUCUUUUAAGAGGGAAGAGCAGAAGACGGUACCUCUUGAAUAAGCCACGGCUAACUACGUGCCAGCAGCCGCGGUAAUACGUAGGUGGCGAGCGUUAUCCGGAUUUAUUGGGUUUAAGGGGUGCGUAGGCGGAGCGUUAAGGCAGUGGUAAAAUUGAGGGGCUAAACCCCUUCCCGCCAUUGAAACUGGCGUUCUUGAGUGGAAGAGAAGUAUGCGGAAUGCGUGGUGUAGCGGUGAAAUGCAUAGAUAUCACGCAGAACCCCGAUUGCGAAGGCAGCAUGCCGGCUUCCGACUGACGCUGAAGCACGAAAGCGUGGGGAUCGAACAGGAUUAGAUACCCGAGUAGUC
rnacentral:rRNA from 1 species